UUGGCGCUGCUAUACAUGUUUUAUGGGACAUUAUUGUGUGAAAGCGGCCGUUGUGUGACCAUUUUACAGCAGUGUUGGCCGAGCCGGUUUGGUGUGCAGCGGUGAGGAUUUCAGGGAGCGUGGCAUCUGCUCUCCACCUACAUCGUGAAGUGGUGAUUGUAUGUUGGACCGGGUGUUAAGCUCUCUUCGCUUGGCUGUUAAGGCCACAGUUUGUGCCUCCUCUCCCCCUGCGCUCUGUGUGGGGCUGCAUCGUGCAGCCAGGUGAUCUGUGCCGCCAGCUGGGCAUCGUGAAGGACGACUUUCCACGGCCUCCAGUCCCGGUGCAGCCGCUAUGUCUCUCUCCCUCUUCUUUGCUGCUGCUGCUGCUGCCAGUAUUCACACACGCUGCUUAAAGUGCAUAGUGUGCUUCUGCAGCUUUUGUUCUCCAUCCCAUCACAACUCCUGUUUUGAUUCAGUUCUUUUCUUUUUGUUUAUUGAUUUAUUUGUUGUGGGUUAAUUUUUUUAUUUAAUUUAUUUAGUUUAAUAUUAGCUGUUGGGGUUGCUGCUACCACUCCUGGUCUCUGCCCACAGCAGAGUUUGGGUUAAUUCUGUUUUGUUAUUAUCUGCUACUUUGUGUGUUUUUUUUUUGUUUGUAUAUGUUUAGUUAGUGUUAGUUAUUGAAUUAGUUAUUUUGCUGGUUCUUUUUUUUGUUUGUGUGUAUGUGGGUGUGAGUGCUGUGUGUGUAUUUUAGUAUAGCCCUCCUGUUUUAACUGUGUAAUUUACUGUAUCUGCCUGAAUGUCCCCCUAUGAGCGGUAUUAUAAUUUUGUUUCUUUUCUUUUAGGACAGGAGCUGGCAAGGUGUGCGGCAGGUUUGUAGUGGGGUUUUUUUGUUUGAGUUGUGCCCCCCCCCCAUUUUUUUGAUUUAGUCUGCCCACUAACUAAGCCUUAGCCUUGUUCCUACUAUUUAUUUUAGUUAUUUUCAUACUGCAAAUGACUUUGUUGUUUUGGCACUCAGGCUGUUUACCAGUGACAUCUUUCUGUUCUUUUAAUGACAGUAAAUCUUAACCAAUAAAUUUUUGUAGUUGGAA